GACAGAGGCCCCGAGCGUUUAGGCGGAAUCACUGGGCUUAAAGCGUGUGUAGACGGAUCGUUAAGUGUCUUGUGAAAUCCCACGGCUCACCCGUGGAACUGCUGGGCAUACUGGCGAUCUUGGGCCGUUCAGGGGCGACUGGAACAAGCGGUGGAGCGGUGAAAUGCGUAGAUAUCGCUUGGAACGCCGAAGGUGAAAACAGGUCGCUGGGGACGCGCCGACGCUGAGACACGAAAGCUAGGGGAGCAAACGGG
rnacentral:rRNA from 1 species